CAACACCUGAGAUGUUCGAUAACUCUUGUAUUUUGAACCUACAAUUACUUUAAACGGGAUUUCAUUAUAUCUGUAAUAUGUCAAGCCUCCGAUUGCAGUGGAAGACAGAAAAGCAGACGCGAUUGCCCACCUAGCUGUGGCUAGGAGUCAAAAUACGGAACCGGCAUCUUGGGCAAAUA
rnacentral:other from 1 species